rnacentral:rRNA from 1 species
CUUUAGCAAGACUGCCAAUGAUAAAUUGGAGGAAGGUGGGGACGACGUCAAAUCAUCAUGCCCCUUAUGACCUGGGCUACAAACGUGAUACAAUGGCUGUUACAAAGGGUAGCUAAAGCGUAAGCUUCUGGCGAAUCUCAAAAAAGCAGUCUCAGUUCGGAUUGAAGUCUGCAACUCGACUUCAUGAAGUUGGAAUCGCUAGUAAUCGCGAAUCAGCAUGUCGCGGUGAAUACGUUCUCGGGGUUUGUACACACCGCCCGUCAAACCACGAAAGUUGGCAAUACCCAAAGCCGGUGGCCUAACUUGAGCAAUCAAGAAGGAGCCGUCUAAGGUAGGGUUGAUGAUUGGGGUUAAGUCGUAACAAGGUAUCCCUACCGGAAGGUGGGGAUGGAUCACCUCCUUU